UUUCCGUAGGUGAACCUGCGGAAGGACCAUUACAGAGUUCAUGCCCUCACGGGUAGAACUCCCACCCUUGAAUAUUUAUACCUUAGUUGCUUUGGCAGGCCGUGGAAACACCAUGGGCUCCGGCUUAUGCGUGCCUGCCAGAGGAAACAAACUCUGUUUUUAGUGAUGUCUGAGUACUAUAUAAUAGUUAAAACUUUCAACAACGGAUCUCUUGGUUCUG
rnacentral:misc_RNA from 1 species